UCCAUGUGACACAUUUCAGAGCAGCAGGGCUGUUAGAGCGGCACAUCAGUUCCAGUGGGUGGUGCGUUCUCAUGAGCCCCGUUUGACAGUUCGAGUCAGUGUCGCCUCCCUCCUCUCUCUCAUCCUCGCAUCUCUGCCGUGUUUUUAACAGGCGGAGCUACAGAGAAAGGAAGAGAUGCGGGUGAGAGCCAGUGAAGAGGAAGAACAAAUAACCAAAUGACAGGAAACCACAAGAGGAAAAUCGUCCGCGCCCGCCCCCAGUGACCCACAGAGGACACAGUUAUUUGGCAGAUGGAGAAGCAGGCCGGAACUGCCGGGGCGCCGGAGGGAGCAGGGCCGAACAGAAAGCACUGGGGCUCAGCGACCUGCGGACAAACCGCCGGUGAUACCCUGGACAGUCCAACAGGUUCUCAUGUAGAAUGGUGUAAACAGCUGAUAGCAGCCACCAUCUCCAGUCAGAUCUCAGGAUCAGUCCCACCUGACAUCGUGAACAGGGAUAACAAGGUAGCUAACUCACACAGACACACAAACGCCCACUCAUACCGCUGACAGUAUUUCUCAUCAGUUUGCGUUUUGUAACUGACAGGCUGGGAGGAGACCAGAUUUUAUGGUAAGGCUGACACAAAUGGCAGCAAGUAUGUACAGAUGUGAUGUAUGUAUGUACUUAAGUGUGUGGGUACAGCUUUGUGUGCUUAGUUUGUGAGUGUACUGUAUCACAGCUGUUGUCAUUGCUGCUGCUGUUGAGCUGCUGUGCAGUUUCUCUUCUGCUUCUGCCUGUCAGCAGCCUGCUCUAUACAGCUACAGCCGUUGUCCUCUACAAACUGCAGCCUCCAAAAUGACCGUAAAGGUUGAAUCAACAUCUCUUUAAAACAAUCUUAACACAAACCAUCGUGACGGUAGGAUUUAUUACAGGACUGUUGUAUUAGACAGCAUCAAUUUUAGCUAUUCUUUGUGAGGGUUAUGGUUUAUCUGUGUGGUUACUGUGACACAGGAUAAAGAGGUAAGUGAACCAAAAUAGCAUAAUCUAUAGCCUCACUCACACUGUGCCUGCCAUGUGUGUAAGUUGACAUAAACCUCAAAUGAAACCAGAUACUUUGACAAGAAGUCAAAUUAAUCCUUGUGACUACAGUAUAGCUUCAGAUAAAAAGAAAUAUUGAACUUAAACACCCAUGAAUUUUAGACAGAUACAGCAUAGUAAUCUCAUGUGGUAGUUGAAAGCUAACUGAACGAUUGUCAUCAUUUGUCAAUAGGCUAUAUGAUACGCUGAUCAGAUUUUACCAAUAAAUUAACAUUAAUAGAUACCUAGAUUAGUAUAUAUACAAGAAAUCUCAGCAUCUCACCCAAAUCACUAAGUGGCAUCUCUCCAUUCAUGUAGUUUUGGUUUUACUACUUCCUCCACCCCAAUAGGUGAAAUGGGAAUUUGGUGUGCAACUCACAGCAUUAAAAAUGACAUUUGAAUCAAAUCAUUAGAAGGUAGAGUUUUAACAAAUGUAACAUUUCAGUAGUUAACUUAAUGCUGUACAUUGGAGUUAUGGAGCACUUCUGUAGAAUGAAGUCAUAUAUCAUAUAUAGUGCUUUUCUGUCACUUGUUUUUGAAUGUGUAUUCACAAUUGUAUUUGCUUGGCUGUUCUGCAGCUCUCUUAUAUUGUAGCAGGUUGCAGUUUUUGUAUUUGCUUGGUUAAUUAAAUUACCAUUGUUUUUGAAGUUGCAGUGUAUUUCUCUUAUUGGAUUUACUUUGGGCUCUUGUGUGUUUGCACCUUUGUGUCAUCAAAUACAGAGUGACAUGAUGUGACAUGACAUUCUGUCUGAUACCAGUGUGACCUCCAUUUCAUAUGACCUACAUUUGUGUGUCUGUGUGUGUCUGUGUGUGUCUGUGUGUCUGUGUGUCUGUGUGUGUGUGUGUGUGUGUGUGUGUGUGUGUAUGUGUACGUGUGUG